rnacentral:rRNA from 1 species
GAUGAACGCUGGCGGCGUGCCUAAUACAUGCAAGUCGAGCGAACGGACGAGAAGCUUGCUUCUCUGAUGUUAGCGGCGGACGGGUGAGUAGCACGUGGAUAACCUACCUAUAAGACUGGGAUAACUUCGGGAAACCGGAGCUAAUACCGGAUAAUAUUUUGAACCGCAUGGUUCAAAAGUGAAAGACGGUCUUGCUGUCACUUAUAGAUGGAUCCGCGCCGCAUUAGCUAGUUGGUAAGGUAACGGCUUACCAAGGCAACGAUGCAUAGCCGACCUGAGAGGGUGAUCGGCCACACUGGAACUGAGACACGGUCCAGACUCCUACGGGAGGCAGCAGUAGGGAAUCUUCCGCAAUGGGCGAAAGCCUGACGGAGCAACGCCGCGUGAGUGAUGAAGGUCUUCGGAUCGUAAAACUCUGUUAUUAGGGAAGAACAUAUGUGUAAGUAACUGUGCACAUCUUGACGGUACCUAAUCAGAAAGCCACGGCUAACUACGUG